rnacentral:rRNA from 1 species
GACGAACGCUGGCGGCGUGCUUAACACAUGCAAGUCGAACGGAAAGGCCCUGCUUUUGUGGGGUGCUCGAGUGGCGAACGGGUGAGUAACACGUGAGUAAUCUGCCCUUGACUUUGGGAUAACUUCAGGAAACUGGGGCUAAUACCGGAUAGGAGCUCCUGCUGCAUGGUGGGGGUUGGAAAGUUUCGGCGGUUGGGGAUGGACUCGCGGCUUAUCAGCUUGUUGGUGGGGUAGUGGCUUACCAAGGCUUUGACGGGUAGCCGGCCUGAGAGGGUGACCGGCCACAUUGGGACUGAGAUACGGCCCAGACUCCUACGGGAGGCAGCAGUGGGGAAUAUUGCACAAUGGGCGGAAGCCUGAUGCAGCAACGCCGCGUGCGGGAUGACGGCCUUCGGGUUGUAAACCGCUUUCGCCUGGGACGAAGCGUGAGUGACGGUAAUGGGUAAAGAAGCACCGGCUAACUACGUG